GACGAACGCUGGCGGCGUGCUUAACACAUGCAAGUCGAACGGUAAGGCCCUUCGGGGUACACGAGUGGCGAACGGGUGGGUAACACGUGGGUGAUCUACCCUGCACUUCGGGAUAAGCCUGGGAAACUGGGUCUAAUACCGGAUAGGACCCUGGGAUGCAUGUCCUGGGGUGGAAAGCUUUUGCGGUGUGGGAUGGGCCCGCGGCCUAUCAGCUUGUUGGUGGGGUGAUGGCCUACCAAGGCGACGACGGGUAGCCGGCCUGAGAGGGUGACCGGCCACACUGGGACUGAGAUACGGCCCAGACUCCUACGGGAGGCAGCAGUGGGGAAUAUUGCACAAUGGGCGCAAGCCUGAUGCAGCGACGCCGCGUGAGGGAUGACGGCCUUCGGGUUGUAAACCUCUUUCAGCACCGACGAAGCGCAAGUGACGGUAGGUGCAGAAGAAGGACCGGCCAACUACGUGCCAGCAGCCGCCGUAA
rnacentral:rRNA from 1 species